UUGUGAAAAAAAGAUACGAAUUUUCACCAUCAGCUUAAUAAUUAUCAAAUCUCAUGUCAAAUCUAGCCUGCAAAUUGCUUCCUCGGUUAUUAUUUCCAGAAUGGAUAAAAUAAUAAUAAAAAAAUAGUAGAAAGCGCCUCAAAAAAAAAAAAGAGAUGGUCUUGGGUACACUCGGGUGUACCGUACAACCGGGUUAUACCUUCACUUAAACUUUG
rnacentral:lncRNA from 1 species